rnacentral:misc_RNA from 1 species
UAAUAUCACUCCACUCAACCCUGUGUUGAAUGCGUAGUGGAUCUGGCUGUCCCAAUGCGUCACGAUCUCUCCGGAGAUUGUGAAUCAACGCGAUGGGUCAGCUGAAGUGCAGAGGCUGAUGCAAGGACCCUUAUGGGCCGCAACUGGGUAGGCAGCUCACGCUUGCUAUUUCUAGUUGUUGGCUUGGACCAUGCGUCUGCCCUCAAACAGGAACAUUAACCUUAUUU